rnacentral:rRNA from 1 species
CUAAAGAAAGCUAUGCCAAGAAUAGAAUUGCAUUCGUUACAGUUCUUCUUGCUGUUCUGAUGAAACUUGUUAUGCAUUCUAAGAUUGAAUUGCCUAUUCAAAAAGAUUAAUUCUAAUGAAUUAUUUAAGACUGUCUUUUUGGAGGGGGUUUGGCCUUCCAAUUGUUUUACUGUUAUUUGAUUUUUAUGUGAAUUUAGGCGUUUUAACGUUCUUCUUUGAGCUUUGUAUUUGUUGUUUAUUUAUUAUGCGGGUGUAUGAUUCUUCUAUCUGUGUAUUUGAUGCAUUCUUGUAAUGUUUGUAUUAAGGGGUGUCUAUGUUUGUUUUAGGUUUUGUUUGCUUGUGUGCGCCAACUAGUUAUGUGCGUUGAUUAUAGAUAUUUUUUUUGUCUUGUUUUCAGAGAGUGAGCUAAGGCGUGAAAUCAGCCGCCUGGGGACUACGACCGCAAGGUUAAAACCCAAAGGAAUUGACGGGGGCUUACACAAGCGGUGGAGCAUGUGGUUUAAUUCGACACAACGCGCAAAACCUUACCAAUUUUUGACAUAAAUUAAGGAAUACUUAUUGUGAAUGUUUCUUUUAGUUUACAGGUGCUGCAUGGCUGUCGUCAGUUCGUGGCGUGAGCUGUUGGGUUAAGUCCCAGAACGAACGCAACCCUCAGGUUUUUUGCUUUGAUUCAAAAACCCAACUGCCAGUGAGAUACGGGAGGAAGGAGAGGAUGACGUCAAGUCCGCAUGGCCCUUAUGAAUUGGGCUACACACGUGCUACAAUGGUGAUGACAAAAAGAUGCAAUUUGGUCACAAGGAGCUAAUCUCUAACCAUCACCCUAGUUCAGAUUGUUCUCUGCAACUCGAGAACAUGAAGUCGGAAUCGCUAGUAAUCGUAGAUCAGCAUGCUACGGUGAAUUUGUAUCUAAGCCUUGUACACACCGCCCGUCACACUACGAAAGUGAACUGCACUCAAAAAAAUUCUUCUUCUAAACAAUUAGAUCAGUCUUACAAAACUUAACAUUGAAUACUCUUGUUUUGAAGACAUUUU